rnacentral:rRNA from 1 species
AUUGAACGCUGGCGGCAUGCUUUACACAUGCAAGUCGGACGGCAGCACAGAGAAGCUUGCUUCUUGGGUGGCGAGUGGCGAACGGGUGAGUAAUAUAUCGGAACGUACCGAGUAAUGGGGGAUAACUAAUCGAAAGAUUAGCUAAUACCGCAUAUUCUCUGAGGAGGAAAGCAGGGGACCUUCGGGCCUUGCGUUAUUCGAGCGGCCGAUAUCUGAUUAGCUAGUUGGUGGGGUAAAGGCCUACCAAGGCGACGAUCAGUAGCGGGUCUGAGAGGAUGAUCCGCCACACUGGGACUGAGACACGGCCCAGACUCCUACGGGAGGCAGCAGUGGGGAAUUUUGGGCAAUGGGCGCAAGCCUGAUCCAGCCAUGCCGCGUGUCUGAAGAAGGCCUUCGGGUUGUAAAGGACUUUUGUCAGGGAAGAAAAGGCUGUUGCUAAUACCGACAGCUGAUGACGGUACCUGAAGAAUAAGCACCGGCUAACUACGUG